UUGAGCCCCUACCGCUAUUCGGUUUAUAUAAUGGAUGUCUGUUUGAGUUACUUUGUUUAGAGUGGGUUUGAAGUGAACAUGAGUUGUCGUCUCAUAUUUAUCUUCGUUGAGGCGUUCAAUCUGUUAGUUCGUUCGAGACGUGAGUUUUCGUAAAAAUUAUUUACGAUUUUUCGGGAACGUUGAGAUAUGAACGAAGAGACAUGUUUUAGGAAUCUCGUAUCGUUUAGAUAUCAU
rnacentral:lncRNA from 1 species